AAAUUGAAGAGUUUGAUCAUGGCUCAGAUUGAACGCUGGCGGCAGGCCUAACACAUGCAAGUCGAACGGUAGCACAGAGAGCUUGCUCUCGGGUGACGAGUGGCGGACGGGUGAGUAAUGUCUGGGAAACUGCCCGAUGGAGGGGGAUAACUACUGGAAACGGUAGCUAAUACCGCAUAACGUCGCAAGACCAAAGUGGGGGACCUUCGGGCCUCACACCAUCGGAUGUGCCCAGAUGGGAUUAGCUAGUAGGUGGGGUACGGCUCACCUAGGCGACGAUCCCUAGCUGGUCUGAGAGGAUGACCAGCCACACUGGAACUGAGACACGGUCCAGACUCCUACGGGAGGCAGCAGUGGGGAAUAUUGCACAAUGGGCGCAAGCCUGAUGCAGCCAUGCCGCGUGUAUGAAGAAGGCCUUCGGGUUGUAAAGUACUUUCAGCGAGGAGGAAGGCGUUGUGGUUAAUAACCACAGCGAUUGACGUUACUCGCAGAAGAAGCACCGGCUAACUCCGUGCCAGCAGCCGCGGUAAUACGGAGGGUGCAAGCGUUAAUCGGAAUUACUGGGCGUAAAGCGCACGCAGGCGGUUUGUUAAGUCAGAUGUGAAAUCCCCGGGCUCAACCUGGGAACUGCAUUUGAAACUGGCAAGCUUGAGUCU
rnacentral:rRNA from 1 species